UAGAUUGAAGCCCGCUGGUUUGGGUUUUUAGAUGUUA
rnacentral:tRNA from 1 species